rnacentral:rRNA from 1 species
CACGUAGGGGGCAAGCGUUGUCCGGAUUUAUUGGGCGUAAAGAGCUCGUAGGCGGUUCGAUAAGUCGGAUGUGAAAUCUCCACGCUCAACGUGGAGGGGCCAUUCGAUACUGUCGUGACUCGAGUCCGGUAGGGGAGUGUGGAAUUCCCGGUGUAGCGGUGAAAUGCGCAGAUAUCGGGAAGAACACCCGUGGCUAAGGCGGCUCUCUAGUACGGUACUGACGCUGAGACGCGAAAGCGUGGGGAGCGAACAGG